rnacentral:rRNA from 1 species
UGCCAGCAGCCGCGGUAAAACGUAGGGGGCCAGCGUUGCUCGGAAUUACUGGGCGUAAAGGGUCCGUAGGCGGUGUGGCAAGUCGGAAGUGAAAUCUCNGGGCUUAACCCAGAGGCUGCUUCCGAAACUGCUGUGCUAGAGGAUGAGAGAGGCGAGUGGAAUUGCGGGUGUAGCGGUGAAAUGCGUAGAUAUCCGCAGGAACAUCCGAGGCGAANGCGGCUCGCUGGAUCAUUUCUGACGCUGAGGGACGAAAGCUAGGGGAGCAAAC